AUUACGAAUAGAAAAAAAAUAUACACACACGGUACACACAGGAAAAUGGAAACUAUUCUUAAGAGAGAGAGCCCAUACAAUCUGCGGAGACGAGAGAGAGAGUAUACAGAGAAUCACAACGGAGAUUAGAGAGAAAGCCUGAAGAAACAAAGCGGAGAUCAGUAAUCGAGCAUUUGAGCAUCGAAAUCAUAGGUGAAAAGUUUAUUGACCAUAAAUCUUGCAAACGAGACACCAAUAAAGAAUAUCACUAUUCGUCGUAUUCCAAGGUAUUUCUUGAUAAGUAUUUCAUAUUCAGUUUAAAACUACCAAAUAUGGCGUUACACUUUAAGGGUUUACACAACUUUGCAAGUCAGACGGGACAGACCAGAAUUCAAUAUUGAACCUACAAUGUUGUUAAUAUGCUCAACUUGGUAAUCAUUUCAUGAUUUUAUAUUAUUUUACCUAUAUGACUAUACAACUCUUACAUUAUAAACUAUAUUCUUAAAAGCACACAAGUUUCUGAGCAAGCUCUGCUUCCUAAACAUCAAUAUAUGAUGUUCCACCUCUGGAAAUUUUUCUGGACAUCCUAUUACAUAUAGGUCUAUAUCCUUAAACUUGCCUAGCAGAAAUUUUAUGAUAAAAUAAGUAAAAAAAAAUUCCAACAGAGUUUUUAAAAGCAACACAUACUGAUCUAAAGAUAUAGCAUUAGAUUUAUGUUGGCCCAAGCAGGCAGCAGCUAAAGUUUUUAUCACCAAGCACUCGUUUUUGAUUAUAGAUUAUAUAAAAUAUAACAAUAAUUAUACUGAGUUUCCGAUUCAAAUUAUGGGUCGUCUUUUGUUAAUUAUGGGAUAGUUUGAUAAUUUUACUUUAUUAUUUUAAUAAACAUAUGCAAAGGUAUGACAACCAGUGGCAGAAUUUCGUAAUUUAUAAGUUUAGGUUUACUGAGCUUUGAUUCUGUUAUAAAAACUCAGAUAUAUUAAAUGAUUAAUCAUUAAUUCGUAAGUUAAGUAGUGAUUCUAUAAUUUAUUAACCGAUAGAAACAAUUUGAAUAUGCUUCACUUUUGUAAAAAACCAUCAGUAUUGUAGAAGUGGUUCUACAGUAGUGAUAUCAUAAAUGCUUGCUUCAAGGUCUCGGUGGAGGGAUAUAGAGGAAUAUAUCACCAUGUUAUCUUGUAGAGAGAGGUUGCAAACCUUACUAAUUCAAAUGUUAGUUUGUGCUGUAGAAGAAAAAUUUGUUAUUUACUCAAAGCCCACCCCCACCUCUCAAUUCUGUUUUUGUUAAUUGUUCUUUUCUUUCAGUUUCAGUGAGAACCGACUGCAUAAAAGAGUACUGGUAAAUGUUAUGAGUUUUUAUAUGAAAUGAGUAUAUAAUUUUUUUCCCAUUUCACUUUCAUGUUCUUGUUCAGUCAUCUUGUCAUCUUAUUUAAUUAUGUUACCCAAAUUAUGAUUAGUAGAUCAUGAUCCACCCCCACUACCGCCUUAAUUCCAGCAAACUCCAGUAUAAUGCUUUGAUGCAUCACUAUGGCCAUCACGGGGAGUUGUUCAUAACAUAAGAAUCCUAGGCCGUACGAGCAAGCAUGACUGUGUGACCUGUUUAUACAUCCAAAGGCACUCCAAAGAUCCCUGACCAAAUUUUAAAGAACUUCAAUCUCUCAACAUUAUUCAGAAUUGAUGCUGCAGAAAGGGAAAUUUCAAACUGAUCCCCAAACUUUAGGAAGUUUUCUCAUCUUUUUGCACUUGAGCUUGGUCAACUUUCUCAUCUUCAUAAACGAAACAGAGCACGUACAUUGAACAAGUGACCUAAGCAUGGAAGCAGAAGAUAUUUUCUGAAGCUUUGGCUACUUUAGGUUUUUCUGGCAAUAUAUUGUUUUCAGUUGGAACUUCUCCUAUACUUGCUCCUUUUAAGGUAUAGAUCAGCAACAAGUGCAUAUUACUACGGAGCAGUGGGAGCAAUGAUAGUAUAUGACAUGACAAAGCGGCAGUCAUUUGAUCACAUACCUGGAUGGCUUGACAAACUCAGGGCGCAUGCUGAAAAGAAUAUUGUAAUUAUGCUCAUUGGCAACAAGUCUGACUUGGGAAUUCUUAGAGCAGUACCAACUGAAGAUGCCCAGGAGCUCGCAGAGAAGGAAAAACUAUGAAUGGAGACAUCAGCACGUGUGAGCAACUAACGUCGAGACUGCCUUUCUGGCUAUUCUAACAGAAAUAUAUCAUAGGCAAAAGACCCUCACUGCUAGUGAUGUAGAUUAUGCAAAGUCUACAAGUCUCAAGGGAACCAGUAUAGUCAUUCCUGGCAAGGAGCGGAACACUAGUGAAGUAGUGGUGACUGUUGCACAUAAAUCUUUAUCUUUUGCCUUUAAGGUUUUGUUUUUCACUUAGGAAUACAAGUAUGUUAGGUUAGGAUAUUACUGUUCAAACGAAAAUUUUAAAAUUUUCAGCCAAAAAGAUUUUCUGCAAUGUAGCCAAGCCAGGCUCAAAGAAAGCUUUUUUGUUUGUACAGAUCGUUAGUAUAUUGUGUAUGGUUUCUUUUUAUAAAUAGUAGAUCUUUGUAAUAUUGCAAUAAA